GCCAUGCCUUGUAAUCUCUGCUACUGGUGAGGCUGAGACUGGUGGAUCACAUGAGCCUGGGAGUUCUAAGCUGCAGUCAUGAUAAGCUUAUCAGAUAUCUACACUAUGUUUGGCACCAUUAUGAUUAACCCUUGAGAGCAGAGGGCCACCUUAUUGCCUAAGGUAGGGUGAACUGGACCAGGUUAGAAAUGGAGGAGGUCAAAGCUCCUGUGCUGGUCAGCACUGGGUCCCAUAAAUGGCAGCUGAAAACCUGGCAAAUUAACUAAUCAUUUGUGUUU
rnacentral:sRNA from 1 species